GAUGAACGCUGGCGGCGUGCCUAAUACAUGCAAGUCGAGCGAACAGACGAGGAGCUUGCUCCCUUGACGUUAGCGGCGGACGGGUGAGUAACACGUAGGUAACCUACCUAUAAGACUGGGAUAACUUCGGGAAACCGGAGCUAAUACCGGAUAAUAUUUCGAACCGCAUGGUUCGAUAGUGAAAGAUGGCUUUGCUAUCACUUAUAGAUGGACCUGCGCCGUAUUAGCUAGUUGGUAAGGUAACGGCUUACCAAGGCAACGAUACGUAGCCGACCUGAGAGGGUGAUCGGCCACACUGGAACUGAGACACGGUCCAGACUCCUACGGGAGGCAGCAGUAGGGAAUCUUCCGCAAUGGGCGAAAGCCUGACGGAGCAACGCCGCGUGAGUGAUGAAGGUCUUCGGAUCGUAAAACUCUGUUAUUAGGGAAGAACAAACGUGUAAGUAACUGUGCACGUCUUGACGGUACCUAAUCAGAAAGCCACGGCUAACUACGUG
rnacentral:rRNA from 1 species